UACGUAGGGUGCAAGCGUUGUCCGGAAUUAUUGGGCGUAAAGAGCUCGUAGGCGGUUUGUCGCGUCGAAUGUGAAAACCCGGGGCUCAACCCCGGGCCUGCAUUCGAUACGGGCAGACUAGAGUUCGGUAGGGGAGAACGGAAUUCCCGGUGUAGCGGUGAAAUGCGCAGAUAUCGGGAAGAACACCCGUGGCGAAGGCGGCUCUCUGGGACGGUACUGACGCUGAGACGCGAAAGCGUGGGGAGCGAACAGG
rnacentral:rRNA from 1 species